GCCUGGGUGGCUCAGUGGUUGAGUAUCUGCCUUUGGCACAGGUCAUGAUCCUGGGGUCCUGGGAUCAAGUCCUGCCUCAGGCU
rnacentral:tRNA from 1 species